GUGGAUUCUUUGGUGCUAAAGA
rnacentral:miRNA from 1 species